rnacentral:rRNA from 1 species
AGUGAACGCUGGCGGUAGGCCUAACACAUGCAAGUCGAACGGCAGCGCAGUAAGAGCUUGCUCUUACGGGUGGCGAGUGGCGGACGGGUGAGGAAUACAUCGGAAUCUACUUUUUCGUGGGGGAUAACGUAGGGAAACUUACGCUAAUACCGCAUACGACCUACGGGUGAAAGCAGGGGAUCUUCGGACCUUGCGCGAUUGAAUGAGCCGAUGUCGGAUUAGCUAGUUGGCGGGGUAAAGGCCCACCAAGGCGACGAUCCGUAGCUGGUCUGAGAGGAUGAUCAGCCACACUGGAACUGAGACACGGUCCAGACUCCUACGGGAGGCAGCAGUGGGGAAUAUUGGACAAUGGGCGCAAGCCUGAUCCAGCCAUACCGUGUGGGUGAAGAAGGCCUUCGGGUUGUAAAGCCCUUUUGUUGGGAAAGAAAAGCAGCAGGUUAAUACCCCGCUGUUCUGACGGUACCCAAAGAAUAAGCACCGGCUAACUUCGUG